rnacentral:rRNA from 1 species
GACGAACGCUGGCGGCGUGCUUAACACAUGCAAGUCGAACGGUGAAGCGCCUUCCUUUUUGGUGGGUGUGGAUGAGUGGCGAACGGGUGAGUAACACGUGAGUAACCUGCCCCCUUCUUCUGGAUAACCGCAUGAAAGUGUGGCUAAUACGGGAUAUUCUGGGUCUGUCGCAUGAUGGGUCUGGGAAAGAUAUUGUUUCGGUGGGGGAUGGGCUCGCGGCCUAUCAGCUUGUUGGUGGGGUGAUGGCCUACCAAGGCGGUGACGGGUAGCCGGCCUGAGAGGGUGGACGGUCACACUGGGACUGAGACACGGCCCAGACUCCUACGGGAGGCAGCAGUGGGGAAUAUUGCACAAUGGGCGCAAGCCUGAUGCAGCGACGCCGCGUGAGGGAUGGAGGCCUUCGGUUGUGAACCUCUUUCGCCAGUGAAGCAGGCCUGCCUCGUUUGUGGGUGGGUUGACGGUAGCUGGAUAAGAAGCGCCGGCUAACUACGUG